rnacentral:rRNA from 1 species
ACGGGAGGCAGCAGUGGGGAAUAUUGCACAAUGGGGGAAACCCUGAUGCAGCGAUGCCGCGUGGAGGAAGAAGGUUUUCGGAUUGUAAACUCCUGUCUUAAAGGACGAUAAUGACGGUACUUUAGGAGGAAGCUCCGGCUAACUACGUGCCAGCAGCCGCGGUAAUACGUAGGGAGCGAGCGUUGUCCGGAAUUACUGGGUGUAAAGGGCGCGUAGGCGGGGAUGCAAGUCAGAUGUGAAAUCCAUGGGCUUAACUCAUGAACUGCAUUUGAAACUGUAUCUCUUGAGUGUCGGAGAGGUAGAUGGAAUUCCUAGUGUAGCGGUGAAAUGCGUAGAUAUUAGGAGGAACACCAGUGGCGAAGGCGAUCUACUGGACGAUAACUGACGCUGAGGCGCGAAAGCGUGGGGAGCAAACAGGAUUAGAUACCCUGGUA